UUGACAGCUCUAAGUACUUGAAUCUUAUUUAUCCAUGGAGCAGGUACAGCAUCGGCAAUAGCAGCACAAGCUUUCCCCCACCCAAUAUGACCCUGCCAGUUCGCCCCAAUCCUCAAGGAAGUCUCUAUACAGAUGCAAAGGAGGUUCACUCUCCACAGCCUUUCAUUCCUUGGUCUUU
ensembl:misc_RNA